CACGUAGUUAGCCGUGGCUUAUUCAAGAGGUACCGUCUUCUGCUCUUCCCUCUUAAAAGAAGUUUACAACCCGAAAGCCUUCUUCCUUCACGCGGCGUUGCUGGGUCAGGCUUGCGCCCAUUGCCCAAUAUUCCCCACUGCUGCCUCCCGUAGGAGUCUGGGCCGUAUCUCAGUCCCAAUGUGGCCGGCCAACCUCUCAGUCCGGCUACUGAUCGUCGCCUUGGUAGGCCGUUACCCUACCAACCAGCUAAUCAGACGCGAGGCCAUCUCUCAGCGAUAAAUCUUUGAUAUCCAUACCAUGCGAUACAGAUAUAUUAUGCGGUAUUAGCAGUCGUUUCCAACUGUUGUCCCCCUCUGAGAGGUAGGUUCCUCACGCGUUACUCACCCGUCCGCCACUAAGUAUCCUCUUCCAUUGACCGAAAUCUCUUUCCAAGGUACUCCGUUCGACUUGCAUGUGUUAAGCACGCCGCCAGCGUUCGUCCUGAGCCAGGAUCAAACUCU
rnacentral:rRNA from 1 species